UCGAGGAUCUUUGGCAAUGGGCGCAAGCCUGACCAAGCGACGCCGCGUGGAGGACGAAGGCCUUCGGGUUGUAAACUCCUGUCGAGGGGGAUCAAGGGGCAACCUUGAGUGAUCCCUGGAGGAAGCACGGGCUAAGUUCGUGCCAGCAGCCGCGGUAAGACGAACCGUGCGAACGUUGUUCGGAAUCACUGGGCUUAAAGGGCGCGUAGGCGGCUUACCAAGUCAGGGGUGAAAUUUUGCGGAUUAACCGUAACAGUGCCUUUGAUACUGGUAGGCUCGAGGGAGGUAGGGGUUCGCGGAACUUCUGGUGGAGCGGUGAAAUGCGUUGAUAUCAGAAGGAACGCCGGUGGCGAAAGCGGCGAACUGGAUCUCUGCUGACGCUGAGGCGCGAAAGCUAGGGGAGCAAACGG
rnacentral:rRNA from 1 species